CAUUCAGGAAAGCAUGGAUGGA
rnacentral:siRNA from 1 species